rnacentral:rRNA from 1 species
GAUUAACGCUGGCGGCGUGCAUAACACAUGCAAGUCGAACGAUGAAACUUUAAUGAACCCUUCGGGGAGAAUUAAAGCGGAUUAGUGGCGAACGGGUGAGUAACGCGUGAGUAACCUGCCUUACACAAGGGGAUAGCCUUUGGAAACGAAGAAUAAUACCCUAUAAAACCAUAAAAGCACAUGCAAUUAUGGUCAAAGUGAUAGCGGUGUAAGAUGGACUUGCGUCUGAUUAGCUAGUUGGUGAGAUAAAAGCCCACCAAGGCAACGAUCAGUAGCCGGCUUGAGAGAGUGUACGGCCACAUUGGGACUGGGACACGGCCCAGACUCCUACGGGAGGCAGCAGUGGGGAAUUUUGCACAAUGGGGGAAACCCUGAUGCAGCGACGCCGCGUGAUUUAGAAGGCCUUCGGGUUGUAAAAAUCUUUUGUAUAGGAAGAAAAUGACAGUACUAUACGAAUAAGGUCCGGCUAAUUACGUG